rnacentral:rRNA from 1 species
CCAAUAGCGUAUAUUAAAGUUGUUGCAGUUAAAAAGCUCGUAGUUGAACCUUGGGCCUGGCUGGCCGGUCCGCCUCACCGCGUGCACUGGUUCGGCCGGGCCUUUCCCUCUGGGGAGCCUCAUGCCCUUCACUGGGUGUGUUGGGGAACCAGGACUUUUACUGUGAAAAAAUUAGAGUGUUCAAGGCAGGCCUAUGCUCGAAUACAUUAGCAUGGAAUAAUAGAAUAGGACGUGUGGUUCUAUUUUGUUGGUUUCUAGGACCGCCGUAAUGAUUAAUAGGGACAGUCGGGGGCAUCAGUAUUCAAUUGUCAGAGGUGAAAUUCUUGGAUUUAUUGAAGACUAACUACUGCGAAAGCAUUUGCCAAGGAUGUUUUCAUUAAUCAGGAACGAAAGUUAGGGGAUCGAAGACGAUCAGAUACCGUCGUAGUCUUAACCAUAAACUAUGCCGACUAGGGAUCGGACGAUGUUAUUUUUUGACUCGUUCGGCACCUUACG